UAGUCCACGCCGUAAACGAUGGUCACUAGUUGUUCGAACUUCGGUUUGAGUGACUAAGCGAAAGUGAUAAGUGACCCACCUGGGGAGUACGUUCGCAAGAAUGAAACUCAAAGGAAUUGACGGGGGCCCGCACAAGCGGUGGAGCAUGUGGUUUAAUUCGAUGAUACGCGAGGAACCUUACCAGGGCCUAAAUGUAGAUUGACAGCUUUAGAGAUAGAGUUUUCUUCGGACAAUUUACAAGGUGCUGCAUGGUUGUCGUCAGCUCGUGCCGUGAGGUGUCAGGUUAAGUCCUAUAACGAGCGCAACCCCUGUUGUUAGUUACCAGCACAUUAAGGUGGGGACUCUAGCAAGACUGCCGGUGCAAACCGCGAGGAAGGUGGGGAUGACGUCAAAUCAUCACGGCCCUUACGUCCUGGGCUACACACGUGCUACAAUGGUAGGGACAGAGAGCAGCCACUGGGUGACCAGGAGCGAAUCUACAAACCCUAUCUCAGUUCGGAUCGGAGUCUGC
rnacentral:rRNA from 1 species